GCGUCGGUAGUGCAACGAUUGGCAUACGCUCCUGGAAAGAGUGAGAUUUGGGUUUGAAUCCCGGCCGACGCA